rnacentral:rRNA from 1 species
UACGUAGGGUCCGAGCGUUGUCCGGAAUUAUUGGGCGUAAAGGGCUCGUAGGCGGUUUGUCGCGUCGGGAGUGAAAACACGGGGCUUAACCCCGUGCCUGCUUCCGAUACGGGCAGACUAGAGGUAUGCAGGGGGAGAACGGAAUUCCUGGUGUAGCGGUGAAAUGCGCAGAUAUCAGGAGGAACACCGAUGGCGAAGGCAGGUCUCUGGGCAUUAACUGACGCUGAGGAGCGAAAGCCAGGGGAGCAAACGGG